rnacentral:rRNA from 1 species
AUUUAACGCUGGCGGCAUGCCUUACACAUGCAAGUCGAACGGCAGCACGGGUGCUUGCACCUGGUGGCGAGUGGCGAACGGGUGAGUAAUACAUCGGAACGUACCUUAUCGUGGGGGAUAACGCAGCGAAAGUUGCGCUAAUACCGCAUACGCCAUGAGGGGGAAAGCGAGGGACCGUAAGGCGUCGCGCGCUUAGAGCGGCCGAUGUCUGAUUAGCUUGUUGGUGAGGUAAAAGCUCACCAAGGCGAUGAUCAGUAGCUGGUCUGAGAGGACGAUCAGCCACACUGGGACUGAGACACGGCCCAGACUCCUAAGGGAGGCAGCAGUGGGGAAUUUUGGACAAUGGGGGCAACCCUGAUCCAGCAAUGCAGCGUGAGUGAAGAAGGCCUUCGGGUUGUAAAGCUCUUUUGUCAGGGAAGAAACAGCAGCUCUAACACAGUUUGCGAAUGACGGUACCUGAAGAAUAAGCACCGGCUAACUACGUGCCAGCAGCCGCGGUAA